rnacentral:rRNA from 1 species
GUCUACAGCCAUACCACUCUGAACGUGCCCGAUCUUGUCUGAUCUCGGAAGCUACGCAGGGUCGGGCCUGGUUAGUACUUGGAAGGAGAUCCUAACUUAUAAGCUACAUAGUUACCUGAAUAACUAGUUCUUUACUUU